rnacentral:rRNA from 1 species
UACGGGGGGGGCAAGCGUUGUCCGGAAUCAUUGGGCGUAAAGAGCGUGUAGGCGGCCCGGUAAGUCCGCUGUGAAAGUCGGGGGCUCAACCCUCGAAUGCCGGUGGAUACUGUCGGGCUAGAGUGCGGAAGAGGCGAGUGGAAUUCCUGGUGUAGCGGUGAAAUGCGCAGAUAUCAGGAGGAACACCGAUUGCGAAGGCAGCUCGCUGGGACGUAACUGACGCUGAGACGCGAAAGCGUGGGGAGCAAACAGG